rnacentral:rRNA from 1 species
ACGAACGCUGGCGGCGUGCUUCACACAUGCAAGUCGAACGGAAAGGCCCUGCUUUUGUGGGGUGCUCGAGUGGCGAACGGGUGAGUAACACGUGAGUAACCUGCCCUUGACUUUGGGAUAACUUCAGGAAACUGGGGCUAAUACCGGAUAGGAGCUCCUGCUGCAUGGUGGGGGUUGGAAAGUUUCGGCGGUUGGGGAUAGACUCGCGGCUUAUCAGCUUGUUGGUGGGGUAGUGGCUUACCAAGGCUUUGACGGGUAGCCGGCCUGAGAGGGUGACCGGCCACAUUGGGACUGAGAUACGGCCCAGACUCCUACGGGAGGCAGCAGUGGGGAAUAUUGCACAAUGGGCGGAAGCCUGAUGCAGCAACGCCGCGUGCGGGAUGACGGCCUUCGGGUUGUAAACCGCUUUCGCCUGUGACGAAGCGUGAGUGACGGUAAUGGGUAAAGAAGCACCGGCUAACUACGUG